rnacentral:rRNA from 1 species
AACUUCUGAAUGUUGACCUCGGAUCAGGUAGGAAUACCCGCUGAACUUAAGCAUAUCAAUAAGCGGAGGAAAAGAAACCAACAGGGAUUGCCCUAGUAACGGCGAGUGAAGCGGCAACAGCUCAAAUUUGAAAUCUGGCUUUCGGGCCCGAGUUGUAAUUUGUAGAGGAUGAUUUUGAUGCGGUGCCUUCCGAGUUCCCUGGAACGGGACGCCAUAGAGGGUGAGAGCCCCGUCUGGUUGGAUGCCAAAUCUCUGUAAAUCUCCUUCGACGAGUCGAGUAGUUUGGGAAUGCUGCUCUAAAUGGGAGGUAUAUGUCUUCUAAAGCUAAAUACCGGCCAGAGACCGAUAGCGCACAAGUAGAGUGAUCGAAAGAUGAAAAGCACUUUGAAAAGAGAGUUAAAAAGUACGUGAAAUUGUUGAAAGGGAAGCGUUUAUGACCAGACUUGGGCUUGGUUAAUCAUCUGGGGUUCUCUCCAGUGCACUUUUCCAGUCCAGGCCAGCAUCAGUUUUCGCCGGGGGAUAAAGGCUUCGGGAAUGUGGCUCCCCUCGGGGAGUGUUAUAGCCCGUUGUGUAAUACCCUGGCGGGGACUGAGGUUCGCGCUUCUGCAAGGAUGCUGGCGUAAUGGUCAUCAACGACCCGUCU